rnacentral:lncRNA from 1 species
GCGUGACACUUUCGUUGCCCCCUUUCUCGCGUGAGAAGCUGCAUGAGAAGAUAUGUGAGAAGCUACGUGACGUCUGUGCAGUGUAGUCUGCAAUACCUUUUUCCAGUUGUGUGUGUGAUUUUGUCAAAUGUCUUAAGUGCUACAGAUUAGGGUUGUUUUGUUUUAUUCUGGGCAAAAAGAAAGAAAAAACCUGUAUGUUAUAACAUUUUAGCACCUCCAAAUCCCGGAAUAUUUCAUAAUCUUCAGAAUGUUGACGAAAAUAUGACGAAUAAACUUAAAAUUACACUGCAAUAUUAGCUAAUCAGUGAACUUACAAUGUUAUUUAGAAGUGCUUAAAACUUGUAAAGCAACAACUAGGAACAACCAAUUCACAGCUUUCUUGUAAGCACCAUAUAUCGCUAAGAUAAUGGCAGUAUAAGCCAAAUGGAAAGACAAAACUUUUAUGAGUUUAAGAGUUUUGUCCCCAAGAAACCCAUUAAUCAAAAAAUGGCUUAAUGCAUUAAUACAGUUAAAUCCAAAGACCAAAUUCUAAAUUAACAAUUCAUUCAUAAUGUAAGCAAUGGACCAUGAGUAAACACUUCAAUCAUGUAAUGUUUUAUUAAUUAAUUUAGUAGUUUAGAAAUUAUAAUAUUCUAGGCUAUAUAUUAUACUGGAAUGCACAAAUACUCACACACAUUCCAAUUUUUUAAAUUGAUUUCUCCAAAGUUAGCCUCAUUUUACAGAUAUUUUAUGUUCUCAUUCAUAAAACACAAACACAUCAAUAAUUAACUCUAGUGUCACAGUGUGAACUCAAAUAACACACAAUUAUCCAUAAGCUAACAUUCAGUAACAAAAUUGAUGACACCAGUCAGAAUUUCAGGAUAGUAUAAACAGGAGCACAGGUGACUGCUUUAAAAAUGCAUCCUAGCACUGGAGAGAGAGCUGAAAGAACCACACAGUGUAGUACAGUAAAGUAACUAUAGUAACAUCACUUUAUUACAGUUACAGUGUUCUGAAUUGAUCUCACUAGUGUUCACUGGCCAGGGAAGUUGUCUGCACUGUAAAUUCUAAUUAGGAAACCUUACUUAAAAAAAGCAUGCAAACCAACUGCCUUGAAAAAAACAAGUAAAGUGAAAUAAGAAUAGUAAUUUGUACUAACAAAGGUUUAUUUAGUGUUGUAAACUUACAUGCAAGUUCUCGUAACUCAGAAUCACUAUUUUCAACAACUAA